UAUUGCGCCGAUAAGGAUGUUUGAAUUUUCAAGAAGAGAGUUUUAUUCUGGCUUGGGAAUUGUUAGUAAAUUUAUUGACAUGUAAAGUAAUGAUCUAGAUGAUUAGUUUGCAGUUAAAGGUUUUUCAUAAAUAAGUAAAUUUAGUUGGAGUGAAUUUUUUAGUAUUAAUUAAAUAUGUGCCAGCAAUUGCGGUUAAACAUAGGAUACAAAUAAUUUUUGUUAAAUUGGAGUUAAUUGAUUAUAAAAUUUUUUGUAUAAUUAGGUAUGAAUAUUUGUUAGUGAAAUAAAAUUAUGAAUAUUUAAAUUUUGAAUUUAAUGAUUUGAUUCUUUGAAAGGUAUAUGAGAAACUAGGAUUAGAUACCCUAUUAUUAUACAUGUAAAUAUGAAUUGUUUAAAUAUUAAAAGUUAUGUUCUUGAAACUUAAAGAAAUUGACGGUAUUUUAGUCUUUUCAGAGGAAUCUGUGCUGUAAUUGAUAGUACACGAAUAAAUGUACUUUAUUUAUUUGGUUUGUAUAUCGUUGUCGUAAAUUUAUUUUGAAAAAAUUUAUUUUUGGUAAAGAAAAUUAUUUUGGAUGUCAAAUCAAGAUGCAGCUUAUAAUAAAGAAGUUAUGGAUUACAAUUUGAAGGUAAACGGAAAGUUAUAAUUUAAAAAAUUUUUGAAGGUGGAUUUGAUUGUAAAUUUAUAUUAUUUGUAUGUUGAUUUAAGCUCUAAAAUAUGUACAUAUCGCCCGUCGCUCCUGUUAUAAAAUUGGAUAAGUCGUAACAAAGUAGAUGUACUGGAAAGUGUAUCUAGGAAG
rnacentral:ncRNA from 1 species